rnacentral:rRNA from 1 species
AGUGAACGCUGGCGGUAGGCCUAACACAUGCAAGUCGAACGGCAGCACAGGAGAGCUUGCUCUCUGGGUGGCGAGUGGCGGACGGGUGAGGAAUACAUCGGAAUCUACUCUGUCGUGGGGGAUAACGUAGGGAAGCUUACGCUAAUACCGCAUACGACCUACGGGUGAAAGCAGGGGACCUUCGGGCCUUGCGCGAUUGAAUGAGCCGAUGUCGGAUUAGCUAGUUGGCGGGGUAAAGGCCCACCAAGGCGACGAUCCGUAGCUGGUCUGAGAGGAUGAUCAGCCACACUGGAACUGAGACACGGUCCAGACUCCUACGGGAGGCAGCAGUGGGGAAUAUUGGACAAUGGGCGCAAGCCUGAUCCAGCCAUACCGCGUGGGUGAAGAGGGCCUUCGGGUUGUAAAGCCCUUUUGUUGGGAAAGAAAUCCAGCUGGCUAAUACCCGGUUGGGAUGACGGUACCCAAAGAAUAAGCACCGGCUAACUUCGUGCCAGCCGCCGCGGUAA